rnacentral:rRNA from 1 species
UUACCCCUACGGGAGGCAGCAGUGAGGAAUAUUGGUCAAUGGGAGAGAUCCUGAACCAGCCACGCCGCGUGAGGGAAGACGGCCCUAUGGGUUGUAACCCUCUUUUGUCGGAGAACAAAACCCGGGACGUGUCCCGGACUGCGUGUAUCCGAAGAAAAAGCAUCGGCUAACUCCGUGCCAGCAGCCGCGGUAAUACGGAGGAUGCGAGCGUUAUCCGGAUUUAUUGGGUUUAA